AUUAAGUGUACUUCCUUUCGCAUGGACUCGUUGUAUUAUACCUUCUAUGGUCGGCCGAGCGCAUGCCUUGCCGCAUCCGCAUUAGCGCCUAGACCGUUGGGGCGGAUGCAUCCCGGAGACAGCACGGCUUUGCCGUACCACUGAGGGCGUCAAGUCCAGGUGCGCUGGACUCGACACGGGAUCAGAGUACGUAAGCUUUCUAGGAGUCAGCCGUAUAUGCUCUGGAAGACUCAGUUCCGGAGAAUGAGGUCAGGCAAGGAGACUAGAAACACUGACGUCAGGUUUCCACUAUCCUUUUGGUAGAACGUCCACGAAUUCGAGGUCGAGAGCAAAACGAGGCGAUCCGACGAUCUGACGCAUUUCUUGUUCUGGUUGCGACAUCGCUCCGAACGAGAAUCCACAACGAGCGCUUCCACGGGCAGCUCUUCGUUCACCUGAAUCGUUACGCCAAGAAGCUCUUCCAUCAGUGCCUGCUUUUCUGGUCCACUUAGGUUACAGAAGAACUGGCUAAACGGGUACGACGACGGGUACGAGUGUGCCUCAUGUAGCGUUCGGCACAUGGAACCGCGUACGGUUUUAGUUUCUGCGGUUUGCCUUAUAUAUAUGGCGUCUGCAUAAGGUAUGUACCGACCGCAGGGGUGGCGUACCAGCGCUUCAAGAUAAUAUGGCGAGCGUCUCGGCAAAUCCCUGAUCCUUCAGUCAGGCCAGAUUGUAUUUCCUGUCCCGAGUAUCAGUUUUGUUAUCGCAUGAAUAUUUGUGCACAAAAUCUCUAGAGGAAUGCGGACCGGUUGCAGCCUUGCAUCCGGAACCCCUGAACGACAAAUUGCUCGUCGAGGUGCUUGUAACUGAGCAAAGCUGGCGAGCCUUCGUCCUGCAAAAUGCUACAAAAUUUUUCACGGCGCCCUGUAUCUCUCAAUAUUACGGAUGCGAAGAGCUGAUCUAUGGAUUCGGAAGCACAGAAAUGGCGUUUGGCAACAGAGAGGGCGCAUUCCACUCGGGUGAACACGGAAGAGAAUGCUUGCAUGAGAGGCGGCUCACCGCGAAUUACAGCUUCGUCGUCCUUGAGUCCUGGCGCUUGGUGGAAAGUGACGUUUCCUGUCAACGGGAAAGAGGCAUAUGGGAUGGAGAAGCCAAGACGUGCUUCGACGAAGGAAGAGCUAUUGGACGAUCCCGUCCGUUUGGUGUGAGUUGUCGGCGACCCUACGAUUGAAUCGUCGAUAACGCCGAUGCUGUUGUAAUUCCUGUUUGUCUGCGGUAUGCGAAAAGCGGUUCGCUUCUCGCUGAGUACCCGUGUGCAGGUCUACACUAUCUCCGGAAUGAGGGCUGAUCCAGUGAGAGGAGCGCCAUUGUUUCUUUGCAUAAACGUUUGCGUCUCAAGACGUAAUCGAUU